GGAUUGCUUUUCUUUUCAAUUUCACAAGCUGUGGGGUCUGAAGUCAGGUCAGAGAGCACCUGCACGUUUGUAUGUUUGGUCCUCGCGAGGUGACACUUCUGGGCUGCAGGACCGAGUCGCAGACGGAGGAAAGCUCAAUGGACUCACUGCUCAAAUGGAGCUUAAAAGAAUCACUUUCAAAGGAUACCAUGACUGAAGAAGUCAUAUUUAUCAACAUUAAAUAAACACUUGGUGAAGUA